GGUGAGUAACACGUAGGUAACCUACCCUUAAGCGGGGGACAACUCAGGGGAAACUUGAGCUAAUACCGCAUAAGACCACGGGCUGAGAUGCCAGUGGGGAAAAGGAGCAAUCCACUUAAGGAUGGGCCUGCGGCCUAUCAGGUAGUUGGUGAGGUAACGGCCCACCAAGCCAGAGACGGGUAGCCGGGCUGAGAUGUUGAACGGCCACACUGGAACUGAGAUACGGUCCAGACUCCUACGGGAGGCAGCAGUGGGGAAUAUUGCGCAAUGGGGGAAACCCUGACGCAGCGACGCCGCGUGGAGGAUGAAGGCCUUCGGGUUGUAAACUCCUUUUGUUAGGGGAAGAUAAUGACGGUACCCUGCGAAUAAGCCACGGCUAACUCUGUGCCAGCAGCCGCGGUAAGACAGAGGUGGCGAGCGUUGUUCGG
rnacentral:rRNA from 1 species